GAGUGUCAGGUCCCUCUAGGGUUAACCCUGCCUGAUGUAAACAUAGCAGUUUCUGAGAAACUGCUAUGUUUACAUCUGGGGUUAAGCCAGCAUCUAGUGGCUGUCUUCCGGACAGCCACUAGAGGCGCAUCGGCAAUGAUUGAGGCAUAUUAUGCCUCAAUCACGCAGAGCGUCCAUAGGAAAGCAUUGAAAAAUGCUUUCCUACGGACACUUUGAAUGCGCGCGCGGUAGUGCCGCGCAUGCACAUUCGGCGCCGGUGACGUUAGACAAGGAUGCUGACGUCGGCGGGGGAGGAGAGGUAAGGGAGCCCGGCG